AAGGAUUUAAGUUACAAAAUAAACUAACAACCUUCAAAGUUGAAAACAGAGACUUUCUCUAAGCCUUA
rnacentral:tRNA from 1 species